UACGGGGGGGGCAAGCGUUGUUCGGAAUUACUGGGCGUAAAGGGCUCGUAGGUGGCCAACUAAGUCAGACGUGAAAUCCCUCGGCUCAACCGGGGAACUGCGUCCGAUACUGGCGGGCUUGAAUUCGGGAGAGGGAUGUGGAAUUCCAGGUGUAGCGGUGAAAUGCGUAGAUAUCUGGAGGAACACCGGUGGCGAAGGCGGCAUCCUGGACCGACAUUGACGCUGAGGCGCGAAAGCCAGGGGAGCAAACGGG
rnacentral:rRNA from 1 species